UGGGGAUGACGUCAAAUCAUCAUGCCCCUUAUGACCUGGGCUACACACGUGCUACAAUGGGCGGUACAAAGGGCUGCGAACCCGCGAGGGGGAGCGAAUCCCAAAAAGCCGCUCUCAGUUCGGAUUGCAGGCUGCAACUCGCCUGCAUGAAGCCGGAAUCGCUAGUAAUCGCGGAUCAGCAUGCCGCGGUGAAUACGUUCCCGGGUCUU
rnacentral:rRNA from 1 species